rnacentral:rRNA from 1 species
UACGUAGGGGCUAGCGUUAUCCGGAAUUACUGGGCGUAAAGGGUGCGUAGGUGGUUUCUUAAGUCAGAGGUGAAAGGCUACGGCUCAACCGUAGUAAGCCUUUGAAACUGGGAAACUUGAGUGCAGGAGAGGAGAGUGGAAUUACCAGUGUAGCGGUGGAAUGCGUAGAUACUGGUAGGAACACCCAUUGCGAAGGCAGCUCGCUGGACAACACGUGACACUGAGGCGCGAAAGUGUGGGGAGCAAAACCGGAUUAGAUACCCGGGUAGUCCCUGAGCGGG